rnacentral:rRNA from 1 species
CAAUCUGCCUUGGAGUGGGGAAUAACGGCUGGAAACAGCCGCUAAUACCGCAUGACGCGUCUGGGAGGCAUCUCUCUGGACGCCAAAGAUUUAUCGCUCUGAGAUGAGCUCGCGUCUGAUUAGCUAGUUGGCGGGGCAACGGCCCACCAAGGCGACGAUCAGUAGCCGGACUGAGAGGUUGGCCGGCCACAUUGGGACUGAGACACGGCCCAGACUCCUACGGAAGGCAGCAG